CCCCGCCCGCACGAUCUCACGCCCCGCGUCGUUACUCCCGCACAACCUCGCGCCCCCGCGCCAUUCCUCCUGCAGCUUCAGAUCGAGAAGGAUGGAUAUAUCAUGAGCAACCAUCGCCCCUUCUCUUCCUCCAUGCGCCGCCGCUCCAUCCUUCCCCUCCUCCUCGCGCCGCCCCUCUUUCUACCGUCACCACCCCCCAUCGGCGCCCUCCGCAGCCUAGCUGAGCCCCUUCGCCCGUGGACGUGUUCCGGCGUCAUCGCGCUACAGGUUGUCGUACCUCUGGAGGUGCGGGGUGGUGGUGGAGGCGAGAGGAGAGGCGCAGGAUCUUGGCCUUGAUGUCACCGAUCUCGACGUGGGCGGUGUCUUGCUCGCGUCCGGGUGUCGGUGGUUCGUGCCGUCACCGUACGGUACCACCAACAAGGAUGGCAUCCGAUGGCCUCUCCCUGAGAACCGUCUUUGCUUCGCCAAUGUAUCCCACAUGCGCUCAAUGUUGAGGGUGUGAUUCCCAGUGAGAAGGACCGCCGUCAGGCCGCAAUGGACUUCACACCUCCCAUUUUCUACUGUUCACGGAUGCACGUACUGUUACCUAGAGCAGAAAGCAUAUGGAGAUUAUAUUAGUAUAGAUGUAUAGAAGUCAUGAUGAUGGACUAAGAUAAUUCUGUUGCACAAUACUAUGCGCUGAGAUUCAGUCAUGGCAUUUUUUGUCAGUAUAGCAUGGACAUGAUAGAGACUGAUCAAAUAAAUGGCACUUGAUUUCAUCUACUUAUAUUCUUCAGGGCAUGUAUGCAAGCGGUGCAUGGAAGCUGAUACUUGCAAUCUGUUUGCGGAAUCUGGCAGUGUUCAGUCCAAGAAUGAGAAUCAUGUGAUUGCUUGUAAGUGCUAAUUGCAUGCGCGUAGGACGAUGCAUCAUUGUCCAGUCCAGCUUGUUUAGGCAUCAGCGUCUCUACUGCUAUCUGGGAUUGGAGGAAAGGCAGCUCGAAAAACUAAAGCACUAAUGAAGCAACAAGUGGAAGUCCAAUUCAGAAAGAAGUAGUUUGUUCUAUAUACUAGAUUGGACAAUGUUUUUCUGCUGGAAGUCUAUUGCUGAAUCUUAAAUCAAGAGGAAGCUAUCUAACUUCUUAAGGAGCCGGGAAGUUUCGCCAAACCACUACAGUGGGCAAGAGAUCAGCUAAUUCAUUUGAGGUAACACACCAGGCCUGGAUUAACAUGCCAACUUUCUUGUGAUUUGCCUACAGUUAGAUGAAUUUACCAUCAGUUUAGUGUACAUAAUAUAUGGACAAGUCAGGUUGCCAAUAUUUAAUCUGGCAUAAGCAUGCGUAUAAAUUUGUUUGCUUAAUAGUAACUUGAAUCUAAAAUCAUAAAAGUAUGUUUGUAGUUCAGACGUGCUUUGCGUAUUCAAAAUUUUGUUUUUUAACAAGACAUGCAUUGCACUUGCAAGCUUACUUGUCUUUGAUAGAACAACAAACUGAUUUUAGAUGCUAAAAUAAACACUAAACACUACUUCCUCAUGGCGACUAUGUGUAAAAAGACGAGGAGAUCCCGACUAUUGAUGUGAAGCCAGGGUGGAAAAAGGCACGAAGAUCACCUUCCUAGAAGGAAGGAUCUGAUUUUUUCCAGUGCAGAUAUGUGUUUCGAAAAGUUAUUGGGAUGUAAUUUUUAUAACACUAGAGUCUAUGAAGUUAUAUUUCCAGAUAUUUCACUUUUUGCAUAAGCUGAGGCACCAUUUUAUUUUAAAAUAUUUUCUGAAGUAAAAUUUGUGAAUAAACUGCAUGAUGUUUCAUGUGUGUGAAUUGCACUUUAGCUACAACACUGAGAUAACAAGGUGCAUAGGAUAUGAAUGGCUAUGGCUUGUGGGGUCAGCCGGGGAGGCGACGGCGACGGGGAGCAGCGGCACAUCGGCGGACAGCAACACAUGUGUAGCACACAGUGGCAGCGGCUGCACGGCCACGACGGACAAGCAACAACGCGAAGCAGGGGCAGGUGGUGGUAAGAAUAAGUAUCACUUGUCAUGUUUAACUCAUGGCCAACAAAGAUCAAGUUUUGAAACUGGGCUUUGAUGAGAAGUUCAUUCGUAUAUGGGAAUUCUAUCUUGUAUACUCUGCCUCUGGUUUGAAGUCAUGAGUAGCUAGAGAUUACCUGGUACGGAUGCAUAUAUGUGUGCUCUUUGUAUAGGUUUACCUGCAUUAUUCCUAUUUCCUAAACAAAUGUAAGUCAUAUACUCACUCUGCCCUCUGGUCUUCAAAAAACAUCUUUCUGGAAACUGUUUGGUGGUUUCCAAUGCAGACUAUAAAAUUUAAGUUGAUGUUGCUUUCUACAAUUAUGUUAAUCUCAGCCAUAAGAUUCUGAGAUCAGUCGACAACAGAUCUUUGAGUAAAAAGUAGUAAAUUAGAACCUUUGGUGAACUUGCAGAAAACAAGCUUUCAUCGUUUGAGAUUGUAAAUGACUUGAGACAAACCUGGGUCCUUUACAUUCUCAUUUGAUAACUUUGAAUUUUUACGUCUUUUGUACAUAUUUCAGCAUAUUUUGUAUCAACUGAUAACUUUGAAUCUUUGCGUCUUUCGUCAGAUCAUGCUUACUAUUGGAUUUGCACAUGAAUAACUAAAAGCGCCAUGACAUUUACGUAUUUCCUUCAUUUUAGCCAUUAAACUCAUCUAUCGAGUGUUAAUUUAGUAUGAUUUCUUGUCCUGAGUGUAUAUUCAUCUUAGUUAGAAAGGUCUUUGAGUGGCUUUGGUCAUCCUAAAUUUUGUGUGGAUUCUUUUUCCAGUCCUGUUUAGCUUUGCCUAACAAUAAUUAUUAUAGCCCUUGAUGUGCACAUGCCCAAUUUCCCCAUAUUGUAUAGUUUCCCAUUCUAUAAUAGCAACCUUUCUGCACUGCUAAGAUGUAAGCACGACUACAUGUUUAACUCAUGUUUAAUAUUGUCAGAACUAAGCAUAUGGUAGAGAAAGGGUUGCUUGCAUGCCAUCCAUGUCAUAGAGAAAUUGUAGAAUUCCCUCUCCCCAUUUCCUUACCAUGAAUAUAACGCUUUAUUGACCUGUUUUUAGCUUCUAGAUGUUCUGCAACUAUAUACACAAUAGAUACUGUCUGUCUGAACUGUAAUUCCACUCCAUGAGAAGCUGAGAUAAAGUAAGAACGAGGCAAAGAAAUUCCGACUCUUCCUGCUCGCAGGUGGGGCCUGCUAUGACUCCCAAUGGGUGGUAUCACUGCAACUGUCGAUCCUUCAAAUUUUGACAAUAACAAGUAGCCUCAAUCCAAGAAGAAAACUAAUUCAAUUCUCCCAAGACUGCUAUUUUUUGGGUUUCUUUGUUCCAACUUUGCAUUGACACCACUUGGACAAUGUUUGUGUUCCUUUGCUUUUCAUCAUGAAAAUAAACAUUCUGAAAUCUUCAUAGGGUAUUUGAUUCCAUUUUUACUAUACAAUAGAGUAAAUAGGCUACGUCCUUACAUUCUCCGCGGAGAAGUUAUCCAGCCAGUCGGUUGCCAUUGAUUUGUGACAUUUUUUAUACGGUUGU